CUUUCUCCGCCGGCGACCGGCGCACGGGUGAGUAACACGUAUGCAACCUGCCCCUGUCGAGGGGGACAACCCGCCGAAGGGCGGGCUAAACCCGCGUACAUGCCACCGGGGCAUCCCGGAGGCAGGAAAGGCUUCGGCCGGACAGGGAUGGGCAUGCGGCGCAUUAGGCAGUAGGCGGGGUAACGGCCCACCUAACCGACGAUGCGUAGGGGUUCUGAGAGGAAGGUCCCCCACACUGGUACUGAGACACGGACCAGACUCCUACGGAAGGCAGCAG
rnacentral:rRNA from 1 species